AAACGACUCUCGGCAACGGAUAUCUCGGCUCUCGCAUCGAUGAAGAACGUAGCGAAAUGCGAUACUUGGUGUGAAUUGCAGAAUCCCGUGAACCAUCGAGUCUUUGAACGCAAGUUGCGCCCGAAGCCAUUAGGUCGAGGGCACGCCUGCCUGGGCGU
rnacentral:rRNA from 36 species